rnacentral:rRNA from 1 species
GAUGAACGCUAGCGGCAGGCUUAAUACAUGCAAGUCGAGGGGCAGCAGGUCUGUAGCAAUACAGAUGCUGGCGACCGGCAAACGGGUGCGGAACACGUACAGAACCUUCCUUCGAGCGGGGAAUAGCCCAGAGAAAUUUGGACUUAAUACCCCAUAGUAUAUUGAAGAGGCAUCUCUUUAAUAUUAAAGAUUUAUCACUUGAAGAUGGCUGUGCGGCUGAUUAGGUAGUUGGCGGGGUAACGGCCCACCAAGCCUACGAUCAGUAACUGGUGUGAGAGCACGACCAGUCACACGGGCACUGAGACACGGGGCCCGACUCCUACGGAAGGCAGCAAGUAAGGAAUAUUGGCCAAUGGACGCAAGUCUGAACCAGCCAUGCCGCGUGGAGGAUGAAGGGUCCUCUGGAUUGUAAACUUCUUUUAUAUGGGGCGAAAAAGGGGCUUUCUAGCUCAACUGACGGU